GGGCUCACUUUGGCAGCACAUAUGCUAAAAUUGGAAUGAUACAGAGAAGAUUAGCAUGGCUUCUGCAUAAGGAUGACAUGCAAAUUUGGGAAGCAUUCCAUAUUUUU
rnacentral:snRNA from 1 species